ACAAAACCAGGAAAAGACGACAUGGAAACACCGAGAGAAGGAAGGGAAAGAAGGGAACACCAGAAGAAGGAAAAUGAAGAGAAGUAACACUAGAAGAAGGCAUAUGAAGUAACACAAGAAGAAGGAAGUUGAAAAGAGUAACACAAGAAGAAGGAAUUUGAAAAGAGUAACACAAGAAGAGGGAAUUUGAAAAGAGUAACACAGAAGAAGGUAUUGAAAAGAGUUACACAGAAGAAGGUAUUGAAAAGAGUAACACAGAAGAAGGUAUUGAAAAGAGUAACACAGAAGAAGGUAUUGAAAAGAGUUACACAGAAGAAGGUAUUGAAAAGAGUAACACAGAAGAAGGUAUUGAAAAGAGUAACACAGAAGAAGGUAUUGAAAAGAGUUACACAGAAGAAGGUAUUGAAAAGAGUUACACAGAAGAAGGUAUUGAAAAGAGUUACACAGAAGAAGGUAUUGAAAAGAGUUACACAGAAGAAGGUAUUGAAAAGAGUAACACAAGAAGAAGGAAUUUGAAGAGAAAUAACACAAGAAGAAGAAAUGUGAAGUAACACCAGAAGGAAAAUGCAGAGAAGUAACACUAGAAAAAUGAAAAUGGAAAUGAAAAGAAUCAUCCACCUUUCGGCCCAAACCAACAUCACAAAAUUAUGGGCGAGUCUCUUCUGGGAGGAAAGCGGCUCGUUCAGACCCAGGAACACCAGAAAGGAUGAUAGAAACAUCAAGAAAAGGAAAA